rnacentral:misc_RNA from 1 species
UCCGGCUUAUCACCGGCGGUUUCUUUAGAGUGCCCAACUAAAUGAUGGCAACUAAAGACGAGGGUUGCGCUCGUUGCGGGACUUAACCCAACAUCUCACGACACGAGCUGACGACAGCCAUGCAGCACCUGUGCUCCUCCCACCCGAAGUGAAGGGAAUCAUCUCUGACUCCCAUAGAGGGCAUGUCAAGGCCUGGUAAGGUUCUUCGCGUUGCCUCGAAUUAAACCACAUGUUCCACCGCUUGUGCGGGUCCCCGUCAAUUCCUUUGAGUUUUAAUCUUGCGACCGUACUCCCCAGGCGGGAUGUUUAACGCGUUAGCUACGCCACUGAGAGGUAACCCCCCAACGGCUAACAUCCAUCGUUUACAGCGUGGACUAC